UGUGCCUCGUUUGGGAAUCCUCCCCAGGCACCACCCCAGUGCUGGGCUGCAAGAGCAGAGAUCAGCUCCUGGGUUCAGCAUCUCACCCGUGCCCUCAUCCCCACCAAGGAGGGCCUCCAAGAGUGCCCCUGGAUAAGUCCCAGGCCAGUCAUGCUGUGGUUGUUGGGAAAACCAAACAGCCAUCUCAUGGUGGGUCCCUCUUGCUGAAUCUUCUCCAGUGCCACGCUGGUUUUCUCCUGCUUUGCCACCCAACACUGUCACUGCACCAGCUGGGGAGAGUCCUGACCACAGGGCUGGGCACAGGCUGGAGAAAUCAGAGAAAAGCCCUGCAAGAAUGAAGAAUUUUCUCUUUUUUCCCUCCAAAUUACCAAGGAAGAUGCAGCAGGAGGUGGGGAUCAAGGGGGAAAUGUGCCGAGCUAGAAAAUAACAGCGAACCCAACAUUUCAGUAUCUUCUCCAUGGGAGAGUCUUGUGGUUGAUGUCUCUACGUUGGCCAGCAAGCAAACCAAGACAAGACAGUCCUGUGGUGUCACCCUGGGCCACCACCUUCAUCCUCGUGUCCUCUGAGGGCAUUUCUGCUCCUGCACAGAGACAAACCUGCCCCAGGAAAGCCCUUUCAGAGAUGCCUCGAGGCAGAAGACAGCACAGCUCCCACAUGGACACUCAAUGGAAAACGCUGGCACGGAGAGGCUUGUGCAGGAAUACUGAUUCAGCCCCAGCGUCUGUAACACUGACUGCAUUUUAAUCCCGCUCCGCUACCCGGAGAGCUAAAAAUA